GCUGGCGUAGCUCAACUGGUAGAGCUCCUCACUUGUAAUGAGGGGGUUGGGGGUUCAAGUCCUCUCGCCAGCUCCA
rnacentral:tRNA from 1 species